UAAGCAUAUCAAUAAGCGGAGGAAAAGAAACCAACAGGGAUUGCCCUAGUAACGGCGAGUGAAGCGGCAACAGCUCAAAUUUGAAAUCUGGCCUUCUGGUCCGAAUUGUAAUUUGCAGAGGAUGCAUUUGACGCGGUACCUUUCGAGUUCCUUGGAACAGGACGCCUUAGAGGGUGAGAGCCCCGUACGAUUGGCCACCAAGUCUCUGUAAUGCUCCUUCGACGAGUCGAGUAGUUUGGGAAUGCUGCUCUAAAUGGGAGGUAAAUUUCUUCUAAAGCUAAAUACCGGCCAGAGACCGAUAGCGCACAAGUAGAGUGAUCGAAAGAUGAAAAGCACUUUGAAAAGAGGGUUAAAUAGCACGUGAAAUUGUUGAAAGGGAAGCGCUUAUGACCAGACUUUUUCUAGGGGGAUCAUCCGGCGUUCUCGCUGGUGCACUUCCCCUGGUUUAGGCCAACAUCGGUUUCUGCGGGAGGAUAAAGGCUUCGGGAAUGUGACUCCUCCGGGAGUGUUAUAGCCCGUUGCAUAAUACCCUCGCGGGGACCGAGGUACGCGCAUUGCAAGGAUGUUGGCAUAAUGGUCAUCAGUGACCCGUCUUGAAACACGGACCAAGGAGUCGAACAUUUGUGCGAGUGUUUGGGUGUCAAACCCUCACGCGUAAUGAAAGUGAACGGAGGUGAGAGCCUUAGGGUGCAUCAUCGACCGAUCCUGAUGUCUUCGGAUGGAUUUGAGUAAGAGCAUAACUGUUCGGACCCGAAAGAUGGUGAACUAUGCGUGGAUAGGGUGAAGCCAGAGGAAACUCUGGUGGAGGCUCGCAGCGGUUCUGACGUGCAAAUCGAUCGUCAAAUCUGCGCAUGGGGGCGAAAGACUAAUCUAACCAUCUAGUAGCUGGUUACCGCCGAU
rnacentral:rRNA from 1 species